rnacentral:rRNA from 1 species
AAAAAUAAAAAUACCUGGGUAGUAUAUAGUUAUUUUCUUGAAACCCAAAGAGUUUGGCGGUAUCUCAGUCUAGUUAGAGGAGCUUGUUCGGUAAUCGAUAAUCCGCGAAAAAUCUUACGCAUUUUUGUAGGCAGUUUAUAUACCGUCGUUAUUAGAUAAUGUUUAAAGGCUAAUAAUUAUCUAAAUAUAAUAAAAUAUAAGAUAUCAGAUCAAGGUGUAGCUAAUAAAUGCGAGUUGAAUGAGCUACAAUUUAAUAUUAUGAAAACGAAAAAUAAUUUAAAAUAGUUAUUGGAAGGUGGAUUUAAUAGUAAUUGAAAUUUAGUAGGUUUAAGUGAUAUAAGCUCUGGGAUAUGU